rnacentral:rRNA from 1 species
UACGAAGGGGGCUAGCGUUGUUCGGAAUUACUGGGCGUAAAGCGUGCGCAGGCGGCUCAUCAAGUCAGGGGUGAAAGCCCGGAGCUCAACUCCGGAAUUGCCCUUGAAACUGGUGGGCUUGAGUGCGGGAGAGGUGAGUGGAAUUCCGAGUGUAGAGGUGAAAUUCGUAGAUAUUCGGAAGAACACCAGUGGCGAAGGCGGCUCACUGGACCGUUGUUGACGCUGAGGUGCGAAAGCGUGGGGAGCAAACAGG